rnacentral:rRNA from 1 species
AGAGUUUGAUCCUGGCUCAGAUUGAACGCUGGCGGCAUGCCUUACACAUGCAAGUCGAACGGCAGCACGGGAGCAAUCCUGGUGGCGAGUGGCGAACGGGUGAGUAAUAUAUCGGAACGUGCCCAGUCGUGGGGGAUAACGUAGCGAAAGCUACGCUAAUACCGCAUACGAUCUAUGGAUGAAAGCGGGGGAUCGAAAGACCUCGCGCGAUUGGAGCGGCCGAUAUCAGAUUAGGUAGUUGGUGAGGUAAAGGCUCACCAAGCCGACGAUCUGUAGCUGGUCUGAGAGGACGACCAGCCACACUGGGACUGAGACACGGCCCAGACUCCUACGGGAGGCAGCAGUGGGGAAUUUUGGACAAUGGGCGCAAGCCUGAUCCAGCAAUGCCGCGUGCAGGAUGAAGGCCUUCGGGUUGUAAACUGCUUUUGUACGGAACGAAACGGUGAGCUCUAAUACAGUUUGCUAAUGACGGUACCGUAAGAAUAAGCACCGGCUAACUACGUGCCAGCAGCCGCGGUAAUACGUAGGGUGCGAGCGUUAAUCGGAAUUACUGGGCGUAAAGCGUGCGCAGGCGGUGAUGUAAGACAGAUGUGAAAUGCCCGGGCUNCACCUGGGACCUGCAUUUGUGACUGCAUCGCUAGAGUA